UACAGAGGUCUCAAGCGUUGUUCGGAUUCAUUGGGCGUAAAGGGUGCGCAGGCGGCGCGGUAAGUCGGAUGUGAAAACUCUGGGCUCAACCCAGAGCCUGCAUCCGAAACUGGAGAGCUAGGGUUCUGGAGGGGAAAGCGGAAUUCCUGGUGUAGCGGUGAAAUGCGUAGAUAUCAGGAGGAACACCGGUGGCGAAGGCGGUUCUCUGGGCCUGUACUGACGCUGAGGAGCGAAAGCGUGGAGAGCGAACAGG
rnacentral:rRNA from 1 species